rnacentral:rRNA from 1 species
GACAGAGGGUGCAAACGUUGUUCGGAAUUACUGGGCGUAAAGCGCGUGUAGGCGGUCGGGCAAGUCGGGUGUGAAAGCCCAGGGCUCAACCCUGGAAGUGCAUUCGAUACUGCCUGGCUAGAGUCCGGAGAGGAUGGUGGAACUCUCGGUGUAGAGGUGAAAUUCGUAGAUAUCAGGAGGAACACCAGUGGCGAAGGCGGCUUCUGGACGGUAACUGACGCUGAGACGCGAAAGCGUGGGGAGCAAACAGG